rnacentral:rRNA from 1 species
AGAGAGAGACAUGCGCGCAUAUCAAUAAGCGGAGGAAAAGAAACUAACAAGGAUUCCCUUAGUAACGGCGAGUGAAGCGGGAAGAGCUCAAAUUUGAAAUCUUCAAGGUUUUACCUUGACGAAUUGUAGUUUAAAGAAGUGUUUUCUGCUGAAGUUUUGGUAAAAGUUCUUUGGAAUAGGACAUCAUAGAGGGUGAGAAUCCCGUAUUUGACCAUUAUCUUUCAGCUUUGUGAUACACUUUCAAAGAGUCGGAUUGUUUGGGAAUGCAGUCCAAAAUGGGUGGUAAAUUUCAUCUAAAGCUAAAUAUUGGCGAGAGACCGAUAGCGAACAAGUACCGUGAGGGAAAGAUGAAAAGAACUUUGAAAAGAGAGUUAAACAGUACAUGAAAUUGUCAAAAGGGAAGCGUUUGACACCAGUGUUGUUUUCUCGAAAAUCAAUUAAAAAUGGCUCGAUUUUGUAUUGUUGAGACCUUAAAAGCUCACUGUACAUUUUUCGUGUCUUUUUUAAUGCACUUUUCGUUUAACAAGUCAACAUCAGUUUCUUUUGUUGUAAAAGGGUCAUUGGAAGGUGGCUUUCUUUUCGGAGAAAGUGUUUAUAGCCUUUGGCCUCUGCAAUCGGAGAGACUGAGGUCUGCAGCGUAGACUCUUCGGGGUUAGAUACAUUUGUGCUAAGUUAUAGCUUUCUAUAGACAACUUGUUGACUAUAAUUAGUCUUGUAGCUUACUCGCUUAUGCUAUUUUACCUACGCUUAGGAUGUUAAGUCGUAGAGCACGCAG